rnacentral:rRNA from 1 species
UACGGGGGGGGCAAGCGUUGUUCGGAAUCACUGGGCGUAAAGGGCGCGUAGGCGGCUUUAUAAGUCGGGGGUGAAAGCCUGUGGCUCAACCACAGAAUUGCCUUCGAUACUGUAGAGCUUGAGACCGGAAGAGGUAAGUGGAACUGCGAGUGUAGAGGUGAAAUUCGUAGAUAUUCGCAAGAACACCAGUGGCGAAGGCGGCUUACUGGUCCGGUUCUGGACGCUGAGGCGCGAAAGCGUGGGGAGCAAACAGG